rnacentral:rRNA from 1 species
UACGUAGGGGGCAAGCGUUGUCCGGAUUUAUUGGGCGUAAAGAGCGUGUAGGCGGCCUGACAGGUCUGCUGUGAAAACUCGAGGCUCAACCUCGAGAUGUCGGCGGAAACCGUCUGGCUAGAGUCCGGAAGAGGAGAGUGGAAUUCCUGGUGUAGCGGCGAAAUGCGCAGAUAUCAGGAAGAACACCUAUGGCGAAGGCAGCUCUCUGGAACGGUACUGACGCUGAGACGCGAAAGCGUGGGGAGCGAACAGG